GGACUACAAGGGUAUCUAAUCCUGUUUGCUCCCCACGCUUUCGCGCCUCAGCGUCAGUUGUGGUCCAGAUAGCCGCCUUCGCCACCGGUGUUCUUCCCAAUAUCUACGAAUUUCACCUCUACACUGGGAAUUCCACUAUCCUCUCCCACACUCUAGCCUCGGAGUUUCGAGUGCAGUUCCUGGGUUGAGCCCAGGCAUUUCACACCCGACUAUCGAAGCCGCCUACGCGCCCUUUACGCCCAGUAAUUCCGAACAACGCUAGCCCCCUUCGUAUUACCGCGGCGGCUGGCAC
rnacentral:rRNA from 1 species